AUGAUAGUAGCUCGUUGUUCUAUAGGCUUUCUCAUAUUCAGUUGGAAGAGUUUAGGUAAGACUUUCAAAGAAACUCUCGACGGGAGAAUCGAGUCUAUUCAGGAAGAAUUGCUGCAAUUCUUCAAUCCUAACGAAGUAAUUCCGGAGGAAUCCAAUGAACAACAACGAUUACUUAGGAUCAGCUUGCAAAUUUGCAGCACCGUAGUAGAAUCAUUACCGACGGCACGCUGUGCGCCUAAGUGCGAAAAGACAGUGCAAGCUUUGUUAUGCCGAAACCUAAAUGUAAAGUCAGCAACACUUCUAAAUGCCACUUCUUCCCGCCGCAUACGUCUUCAGGACGAUAUAGUCACAGGUUUUCACUUUUCAGUGAGUGAAAGAUUUGUAUCCGGGUCUACGUUCAAAGCUUCUACCAUAGACCUAAUUCGAGAAGGCUUGAUAGUCCUAAGAAAGGUGAGGGUGGGGGGUUCUAUUUAG
rnacentral:rRNA from 1 species